rnacentral:rRNA from 1 species
UACGGGGGUGCAAGCGUUGUUCGGAAUUACUGGGCGUAAAGCGAGUGUAGGCGGCCCUGCAAGUCAGAUGUGAAAGCCCUCGGCUUAACCGGGGAAGUGCAUCUGAAACUGCUUGGCUUGAGUACCGGAGAGGAAGGCGGAAUUCCCAGUGUAGAGGUGAAAUUCGUAGAUAUUGGGAGGAACACCGGUGGCGAAAGCGGCCUUCUGGACGGAUACUGACGCUGAGAAUCGAAAGCGUGGGGAGCAAACAGG